rnacentral:rRNA from 1 species
AGAACGAACGCUGGCGGCAUGCCUAACACAUGCAAGUCGAACGCUCUUGGGGCUUCGGUUCCAAGGGAGUGGCGCACGGGUGAGUAGCGCGUGGGAACCUGCCCUGGAGUGGGGGAUAACCGAGGGAAACUUCGGCUAAUACCGCAUGCGCCCGGGAAACCGGGGAAAGAUUUAUCGCUCUAGGAGGGGCCCGCGUCGGAUUAGCUAGUUGGUGGGGUAACGGCCUACCAAGGCUUUGAUCCGUAGCUGGUCUGAGAGGAUGAUCAGCCACACUGGGACUGAGACACGGCCCAGACUCCUACGGGAGGCAGCAGUGGGGAAUAUUGGACAAUGGGCGCAAGCCUGAUCCAGCAAUGCCGCGUGAGUGAUGAAGGCCUUCGGGUUGUAAAGCUCUUUCGCACGCGAGGAUGAUGACGCUAGCGUGAGAAGAAGCCCCGGCUAACUUCGUGCCAGCAGCCGC